GUGUUCGUUGAAAGGAGAGACCGUUGGCAUUUCUCUUGACGGGGACCGGAAUAGCCUUGGGGCUUAACUGACAACAUACAAACUUGUUAUGGGUAGGGGCCCUCAAAAUACGAUUCUCA
rnacentral:ncRNA from 1 species